rnacentral:rRNA from 1 species
UCGAGGGGUAUAGGUUUUCGGACCUAGAGACCGGCGCACGGGUGCGUAACGCGUAUGCAAUCUACCUUUCACAGAGGGAUAGCCCAGAGAAAUUUGGAUUAAUACCUCAUAGUAUAACGACUCGGCAUCGAGAUGUUAUUAAAGUCACAACGGUGAAAGAUGAGCAUGCGUCCCAUUAGCUUGUUGGUAAGGUAACGGCUUACCAAGGCUACGAUGGGUAGGGGUCCUGAGAGGGAGAUCCCCCACACUGGUACUGAGACACGGACCAGACUCCUACGGGAGGCAGCAGUGAGGAAUAUUGGUCAAUGGACGCAAGUCUGAACCAGCCAUGCCGCGUGCAGGAUGACGGUCCUAUGGAUUGUAAACUGCUUUUGU